AACAAAGUGUUCCACGUUCAUUUAUAAACCCUUUUAAAUUAGCAAAAGUCAUCACCGGAAGAUUUUGAUAUAAAUUGUACAUUUACAAAUUGCUGAAAUGCCGUGAUACCAAUAGGGAAAAUAAUGACCCAACUCUAAUCUUAGAAGCAUUCGUCUGAAAGAAAUACCUUGCAAACAACCUUACAACGUGAGCUCACAGUCUGAUUCUGUUUUUUUCAUUUCAUCAGCAGGGCUGGACAAGUAGCCAGAUUUGGCUGAGAGGUGUCUUGUGCAGAGCUGGAGAAUGCAGUUCUUUGAUCUUAUCUCACAGUCUUCUGGUUCUUUGCUGUUGCCCAGCCAACACCUGAGGGAUCACAAACGAACCUGGGAGCAAUACUCAAAAUCCAGAGGAAGAGGUUGCAAUCUACAGGAAGCUGACAAAAUUCAGAAAAUCAGACACUUAAGCCGUGACCUUCACAGAGAAGGGACUGUGUCAUCUUGUUUAUGCAAUAGCGAAAAGUGGGCCCUGAUCCUGCAUGGAGCCGUUGGAUUUUAUCAGAAGAUCCGUAAAGCAAGUGAAUACUUCAGAGUGUGCUUUUAUGGAACAUCCUUCUAUGGAAAAUACUUUGCAUUAGAAGACAAAAAAAAAAGGUAUACGGCAGCACAAAGGUUAAAAAUUACUCGUUAG
rnacentral:lncRNA from 1 species